CUCUAAGCAAGAGGCUACCAAAUUAAAGAAAAUUUGGUGUUUGAACUUUUAGUCACAAUAGCAAGGCAUAUAUGAAGUUUUAACAUAAAGGGAAAAAUACAAACUGUAUACUUUAAAAGAGUUUACGCUGAAAAAAGUACUUUUGUUCUAACCAGUCAAAUUUACUAUCUAUUAGAAUGAAGGCAAGCUCUUAGGAUUUUAUCAAAAAGUAACAAUGUUCAAAAAUUCGAUUUUACCAUUUAGCUUAAUAUAAACUAUAUUUUACAUUGAGCCACAAAGUGAUUCAUUUUUAGAGUCCUUGAGAUUCAGACUACGCUAAAAAAUUACUCUGUUAUUUGAUGCUUUUUUCAUGCAGUCAUUCUCUUCUUAUUAAAGUUAUGUUGCAUUAAGCAAUCCCUAUAUAUACAGACUGAAUUUCAAGCCAUUUCAUAAUAUCAUAGAUCAUGAUGAACACUUUACACUAGAUAAUUUGGCUGCAGAAAGAAAGUCUGUUCAUUUGGAGGUGGAUUGAACAUUUAGAGCUAAAUGUUUUAUCUCAGAUUUGUAGCAAUCAUAAAAUAUUACCUCAGCAAAUGUUUUCUGAGGAAGACUUGCUAAAUUCAGAUGCAACAAACAUCACAUAUCUAAAGCAAAAUAUUAUAUACUCUUAGUAUAAAUGACUUUUAGACUGGAACUUUAUCCAUUCUUCAGCUCAAAUGUUUUAAGUUAAUAUUUAUGCUGAAGACUGGGAAAAGCUUCAUGGAAGAAACACUGUCUUCAGUUAUGUGUCUUCAUUUCUUUAAAUAAAAUAGCUUGGUUGUUUUCAACCUGUAGUUAUAUCUCUAAAGACAUUUCUAGUACUUCUCUAGGGAAAACACUGUCACUGAUUUACUUUCCUAACAUAGCUUGAAUCUUUUGCCAUAGUGGGUUUUCUUAAACAUUUGAAGUUAUUCCUCAGUUUACAAAAUGCCAUGUUAUGCCUAAUCUUGUAGAUAGUUCUCUGUAAAUAAAAAGGAUACAAACUUCUAGGACUACUGAUUGUGGUAACUUAGUGUGCGAUGGGGGGAAGGAGGGGGGAAGUGGAAUUGAAACUCCCAGCUGUAGCUGAUUGACUGUGUCAUGAAAUAUAGCUUUUGAGAGAGCAGGAAUUUUGCAAAAGUUCACUGAAAUGAGUUUCACUAAGGUUGAAAUAGAAGGCCAAAUGAUAAUCAUUAAAAGAUUUUUCAGAAGGACUUUUUAUUAGAUUUUUUAUACCUUAUAUGAACAAACAAAACUUGAAUGAAUGUCUUCACAUGCAAAAAUUAUUAGCAAACUGACCUUUGUGCUCUUGUAUUUUUUACACUUGCUCAGUGACUUUGGAAGUUUGUUAAUUCAGUGCAUGAACAUAAUAAACUUUGAUUAAGGAAAACCCUUACUUAGUUCUAUAGAUUAUCAAAACUAUUUUUUUUAAUCAUGCAAAAUUUUGAAUUUAUUUUUUAUACCGUUGCUUUUUAAAAGUACUCUGAUGCAUUGCUUCAGGAUUGCAGUAACCAAAUUAUUUGUUGAAUCUGAAAAAUUAAAACUGCAAAUUCAAAACAAUAGGUUUAGUAAAGUGUAACUGAUAAAUCUAAGAAAUUUACAACAAAGUAAUUUAAAUAUUGAAACUUACUUUUAAAACAACAUACUGUGUACCUGAAAACAGUAAUGCUGUGCCAUCCAGUAUCUGCUCUGUUCUGUUCCUUGGGAAACAGAAAGAACAAUGGAUCUCUGUCCCCUGGGUAUUUUGGGACAGAGAAUGUCAUAAGGGUUAUAUUUAGUCACUAGGAAGGGUACUGCAUGUGUCAUAAAGUAGCAUCCCUUUGGUGCUGACUUAUUCAAAGUCAUACAGUCCUGGACUUUUCUUACCUUCCUCCUUAGUGAAUCUGACAAAUGCAGCUGGUAUCAGGGUGAGAGCACAGGACCAUACAAAGAAAAAUACAGCACAGCAUAAAUUGGUCACUUAAAACUACACUGAGUCCUGAGAUUCUGCUAUAGCUGUUGUGAGGCCUUUGAGGGGAAAGGUUCAUUUCUGUAUGCUUUUAUUUCCUUGUUGCGCAGUCCUUGUUAUAAGUUAUUUUUUCAUGGAAGUGACAAAAAAAGGAAAUGAUUGACUAGGAUUUAAAAACAAUAAGCAACCCUUAUAUUCAUUAAUUAACCAGAAUAAAAAUAUUUAUUUUUAAAACAGGGCAAAACCAUUUUCUGUUAAUUUCGCGGGUGCCCCUAAUACACUUAUUUCAUAGGGAAGCAACUAAAAGUUUUUUGAAGUCACAGGCUUUGUUUGUUGUAUACUUAUCCUGGAUGAAAUAGACCUGAGGAAACCACAACCCCAGUCCCACUCCCCAGCCCUCCACCCUGCUUGCCUCCCCCCAGUAUAAGCCUGUUACACCUGAAAGAUUUGUUCAGAAUGUCCAGUGGGAACCUGGAAAUCGUAAUAAUUUGUAGUAUCGAUUGUGUGAAGCUAUGCAGCUGGGGCCUCUAGUGAAUAGACAGGAAUAGACAUUUUAUUGAUUAACUUUUACAGUCAUAUUUUCAGGACUCUGCUGCAACAUAAUUUUCACUUCCCAGCUUUGUGCUGCUGCAUCAUGAAACUUGGAUUCUUCUCUCUUAACAUUUACCCACCUGAGAGAAACAGUACAGACUUUUCUUUUUUUAGCUGUGCUCCACAGAAAUGCAUAAUAUUUAGUGUAGCGAAUUCUUUUAAAUUUCGCCUCUGCUGUCACAAUAAAAUGAAAAAUCUUCACAAGUGAUGUUAGUAAGUAUUGAAUAAGUUGCACAUCCUCUCUAACCCCCACAUUAGAUGCUAUUUGUAACAUCUUCUCGUAAUUCUAUUUCUCCUUUGCAUUUUCAUUCUUAUGUUUUAAAUGGAUAAGUUUCUGGCAAAAGCAGCCUUCCUCUUUACAUCCACAAAUUCCAGAACUGCUUAAAAGGAAAACCAGAACAGCCCCAUAAUAAAAUCUAUGCUUUUAUUAGUUAGUGAAAUUUUAAAAGAGGAAGACAAAAUGCUCACUUGAAAAUCUGAAAGGAAUUAUCAGAAAAAUCUGAUUCAUUUUCAGGAGUGACAUACUGCAUUAACUAAAAUUGCUUAUAAGAUUACUGAGAGGACUGGAUUUCAGUACAGUUGCUAAUAAUUUUUUAAAAAAUCUGUAGAUGUACUGAAGUCUUAUACAAGCAAAUCUCAAAAAACUUUUUUUCCCCCAUUUCUGGUGCUAUUAAUUUCCAGAAAAGAACAAAAAUGGCAUUGUGCCAUUGUGAAAAGAACUGUUGCAUAUUUGCUGGUUUCUUUAGUACGGGUUACUUUGUACAUUAGAUUCCUAAGCCAUUUCUCUUUCAUGCACUUAGAAAAUUACCAGUGAAAAUCCUCAUCCCUUUUAUUCAUUUAGUGGCUGUUUAUUAUUAGUUAUUUUAUGCACUUUCCUGUGAACCCUGUUUUUGACAUAAGUUUAAUAAUGCCUUGUGGGCUAAAUAUUCACCACCCCAUCAUCACUGAUCUUAGUAUGAUUUAAAUGUCUGUCACCCCACUACUUUCUCUAUUCUGUGUUGCUAUUAACAUCUUCUAAUUAUAGCAAUGCUUAAGAUAUUCGUGGUCAUGUUUCCUUUUGUCCUUCCCCUCUCAUCAGAGACAUGAUGGUGUGCACCAUAUGGAGCUACAACUGAGGCAGAAGCUCUCCCAUCCAUCACAAAAGGUUCACUUUGUUUACCAUUGCCAAACUUAUGACUGAAUAAUUCCUAUUUUGUUUCAAAGAAUCAGGAAAGGUGUGGAGGACUUAAAGGUAAGAACAACAACAUCAAAGAAGGAGGAUAAGUAGCAACUUUCUUAAGACCUCAGUGUCUACUGGUCCUGGAUAAAGUAGAAUUAGUCUCAAUCAGGUGAAGUACUAGAAAAUUUGAGGUGUUUCAGUUUGUUCUUAUGCAUGGAAAAUUAAUGUAUUAUUUAGCAAACUGAUUAAUAGUAGUAUCAGAUUUUAAUGGCAUCCUAGGCUCCAAUAUUUCAAACAUACGUGAAUGCAAGUCACAGUUUCACAGUUUUGUGAAACCAAUUACCCUAUAAACAUGUGAAAAGCUGUUCACAAGCCUGCAAGACUGAAGAUGAAAACUUUUCUAAGGAUCACUUAUGAUUUUGUUUUGUAGUCGUGAUGUUGUAUUAUAAAAGUAUUGAAUUAUGAUAUAAGGAAUUACAGGAAAUCUCCAAAACAUCUGACUGUAUUUUAAUUUAGGUUAAUUUAAUAGAAAUCCAAAUUAGUGUUUGUGUGUGUGAUUUAGUUAAAGAACAGGGAAAUGGUAUUCCCUCUUCUGAAUCUUUGUGGAGAUAUUAAAUAAGAUCAGAGUAGUGUUUCAGUAACUUAUAUAUUCUAGGUAGAUAAUCCCCUAAAUGCUUAGGACUCUGUGCAUAUCAUGUUAACUGAAUUUCUAGAUUUUCUAUAUAGUUUCUUUCUUCUUUUCUAUUUUGACAUAUCUAUGCUAAAGCUUCUUACAGUUGUGGUAACCUUUUAAUUAUGAAUUAGGCAAGGCAAAUUUAAAAACUUUUAAAGUAAAAACUUGAAAUUUUUUAAAUGUUUAUUAAAUAAAUUAGAUGCAAAAUAUUAAAAAAUAUUUCUUAGAGCAUUUUUUUACACUGCACAAAAUCAGGACUUACUAUAGUUCCCAGUUUUAACCAGAAAGUUCUAAAGGUUAUUGUGACAUAGCUGAAGGCUGCUUGACUCCAUUACUUUAUCUUUUUCUCUAAGAGAAAUUGCAAAUCUGAAAUAUUUUAAUAAGCUUGUGCCAUUUAGUUUGAUUUUUAAUUUCUAAAUAUUAAUGGAAAAAGUAAGACAUUAAGUAAAUAAAAAUUUGUGUUUAUAGGAUAUGAUCCUAUACAUUUGUGUCUUCCCAGACACUAUAGUUAUGACUGAGAAAAGCUGAAUUGAUUGCAAUGGAAAUCUACCUGACAGUAAGUAUUUGCAGUGGCAGACGAAAUUAUUUAAGAAAAGAGAAUAUAAAAUUAAGAAAGACAGAUGGACUCAUAAGAGUGAAAUACAAAUAGUCUGAAUCAGGAUUGAUUUCAACAUAAUGUGGUGGAGGAAUCCCCGCUUAUUGAUCAACUUUAAAGCCCAUGCACAGCACUUAAAAAGAUAAAGUAAGCAAGGUCAGAUAAUCAAAGCAUUUAAAUAGUAAAAACAGCAACUGCCACUGUAGACUGCUAAAAUAAAUCCAUAAUACAAAUUGCUUUAGCAAAAAGUGGAUGAGCAGCUGAUCUUCCUAUUGAACUUUUAUACUGUUCAGUGACCACACUGGGGAGAGGAUUGGAAGAAAUGCCUUGAAGAUCAAUAUUGAGUGAGAGGUAGCAGGGAUUCAUUCUGAACAUGAAAGAAUUAGGAGUAUGAGAGUAGAGAUCCUGAGGAAAUGUCAUCAAGGAAGGACCGAUCUUUUAAAAUAUCACACAUAUUAUAUGAGCAUAGUAUUAUUUGAUAUCCUGUUAUGAUCCUUGAGCAUUCAAAGCUUACUAAAACAGAAAUUAACUUAUUGAAAAAAACCAAAAAUAUGACUAAUGAUUUUAAUGAAAUUAGUUCUAAGAAUUCAGUAACCUCUGUCUUCAAAACUAGGGGAAUUUUAAUCUUCUUAAUUAGUAUGGUGUUCAGUUGAGGCUGCUACUAUCCAGCCAUAUGUAUUACAAGUUUUUGCUGAAUAGGGAUAAUGAACCAGAAUAUUGUAUUUUUUAUCUUUUUUUGAUCUUUUUGUUUUUUUCAAAGAUCAACAUGCACCUGUAAUUAACAUGUUUAAUGUAAGUGCUAUUUCUUCAGAUCUAUUUGAAAUACUAUUUUUGCAGACAUUUUAAUUAUUCUGUGGAAACUACAAUGCUGUAAUGCAAGUGCUUCAAAUUUCAGUUUUUUCUAAACCUAUUUGGGAUUUUCAUUUUAAAAUAGGUGUCAAAAAUAUUUUUUAUUUAUACAUUAAUUUUUUUCAGCAAUAUUCAAAGAGUAUUUGUGAGAAAGAAAUACUAGAAGUGGAAGUACUACAGUAGCUCAUUGUUUCAAAUAUGUUGUUUUCAUUCACUGUUUUAUUAUAUCAUUGUAUGAGAAACACUGCAUUUUCAUAGAUAUAUUAUCCCUUUAAAAUGAAGAAUCCUUUUUUCUUUAUUUUUGACCAUGAUCUUCCUUUAUUUUCAGGCUCAUUAUCCUACCUAUAAAAAAGGUGCUAUUGUUGGAAAUUAAUAAUCCAAGGUGUGACAGUAUUUGUAUUUUAAACAAUAAAAAAGGAACACUAAAACUAGAGUGUUUCAAGGAUAUAGAAAAUAUAUUAAAAAAAAAAAAGAAAAAAGUAAAGUGAGCAUUUGUGUUCUCUUAGAAGAUCUUUUUUGACAAAAUACUUUAGAGUAACUGAUUUCCAAAAUCAUGACGUUUGUUCUCUGUGGUAACUGUACCAUGCACCUUCUUGUAAUGCAUAAUUAUUUACAAGCACUAUUGGCUCAAUUUUUGCUGUAUGAAUUGCUGAUUACAGCAAUUUCAAUGGUAAAAUUGUGAAAAACCAUAUUCAUAGCUGUCAAAGAAAGGUCAGCUUAUUUGCAUUCAUUAGGAACUUGGAGGGCCAUACCACAUGCCUUUCCUCUGGGAUUCUUACAGUUAUUGAUUUGUAUACAGCUGCAGGAAAAAUUAGUUGGAAUUAUAUUUCACUUACCACUGGAGGCUGUAUAUUAAUAACAACGGAGUUCUACAUUAAAAAAAAUAGAACCAGCAAAUUAAAUAAUUGUCAUUUUUAAAAACUAAAAUUGUUAUACUUAACUUUUUAAAAAUAAUCUCUUUUGAAUAGCUGGAGGAAAUCUUUUAGUGAACUUUUAAAAAUACUCACAGUACUUUUAUUUGCACAAAAAUGCAUAGGUACUUAUACUAAUGUGACAUAAAGUAUUCAAAACUUCAUAUUUAGUAGUGGUCUUUACAGAUGCUUGUAAACCAAAUAUGCUUAGCCUUCCUUAUAUAGUGAAUUUUUCUUUUAUAGCUGUAUAAUUACUAUCCCCAAAAUUUAAAAUAUGAAUAAUCCUGUCUUUAAAAAAAUCUUACAUUUGUUCUCUAGGCAUUAAAGGCCUUUCAAUAUCAAGAGCUGUGUAAAAUCAUAAGGAAAUGUUAUAGCCAUCCUUGACUGCUAUCUUAGGUAAAAAAAAAUAUGGCUUAUGUCUUCAAAAAAUGUCUGCAUGGGUAAUAUACCAACAAUGUGAGGUCAGGUAAAGCCCAUUGUCAAACUGUUACAAACCUUUGUCUAAAUGGAGAAAACUUCAGAUUUACAGAUAGCAAUGAUGCUCAGGUGGUAUGCAUUUGAAACCUUGUUUGUAUUACAUUGAUAAAUACUGUACAUGAUUAGUGCAUAUUUCUGUGAACUUUUAACACUUUAAAUGGAUUAGAAUGUCUUAUUUUGAUCAUAUCCAUAUUGUUCAUUAAGAUAAGAUUAGGUACUUAAAAAAUGUUUGGCUUGUUUCCAUUACACUCAAAAAUGUUUAAAGUAGAAAAUACAGAAUACAGUUUUCCAUAGUGUGCAUAUAUAACACAUGUUUGAGAUUAAUCAAAUCAUGGUCACCUCUAAUUAGCAGCAGGGAUCAAUUCCAACAUGGGACAGGGCCAGAUGACUAAGAAAUGAAGCAUAUAUUUAAAAGAUGCAGCAUACUAAGAAAAGAAAAAUAGGUUAUGACUUAUGACUUAAAAAUACUGCAAAGUUUUAAACCUGUGGUUCUGUGCAUGUGGUUUAAACAUUGUAUUUUGCUUUUUUCUUUUGCUGAGCCAAAAAAUUUCAUAACCCUACAGUUUUGUAGGUAAACACAGUUUUCUUUCAAAGUUAAUUCUUUCCAUUCUUCAUAAUUAAUAGAGUAAAAAACCCCUGAACUUUGCAACUUCAGAUGAGCAGCUUUUUAUUUUCAAACUUUUAUUUUCUAAAAAUGCCUGAUUUGUAUGCCAAAAUUCUCUCCUUUACCAUGGCACUUGAUUAACACCACAGGAAAAGCAGUGAUCCAGGACAUACACUGAAAUAAGUUGAAUCUUUUCUCCUGUUUUUGUUUAGGUUUUUUUUGUUUGUUUGUUUGUUUGUUUUAAAGAGGAAGUUUUAUAGCUGAUGAAGAAGAAAACUCUAGGAAAAGAAAUGUCAUUGAGUGAUGAAGACAACUGGAGACUUAGACACUUUCCCGUCCUUUCCUUCAGACACAAUGAAAAUACUAACUCUAAAUUUUCUGAAUAUCCAGCGUGAGAUGCUGCUGCCUGAUCUGUAGCAAACUGAACUUUGCUAAGAACUACUGUAGCCAAUGUAAAUUUGCUUUGAACAGUUAAAAGUCUUUACAGAGAAGAAUUAAGAAAAGAUAUGAGAAAACAAUGUUCAGUUGUGUCCUGUCUCUGACUGGGAGUUUGUGCCAAGGUCAUUCUCAUUGCAUUUAGGGCUAUAGCUCCUGAGCACAUACAAGUUUUUCUGUCUCUGAGAGAUUCAAUAACUGCUAAACUUGCCUAUGAAAAGGGGAAAGCACUACAAGAAAGUCUAGAGACCAAUUCCUUUUAGAUCAACAUGGAAUAAUGUUAGUUCAAACGGUUAGUUCAAAAUAAAAGAGAAAUUAAUCUCUGUUCUCAUAUAUCCCAAAUGAGAGCACUGAUAGAAAGCAUUUCACAAUUUAUUUUUGCUUAAUGUGAGGCUCCUUAUCUUCUUUUACCCCAUGUUCCCAAAUCCAUUUACUUCAGCUGCCCAUGCAUAAAAUGAUAAUAGAGAUGUGUUCUCAUAUCAUGGAUGCUGAUAUUUAUGAAGCACUCAGACGCCAUUGGGUUGAAAAUCAGUGGCUUUAUUUAUGUUGUCUUUUUUGUUGUGUCACAAUGUGAGCUUUAUUUCUCAGUUUAAGUCAUGUAAGCUGAUGUAUAGAGACAUUAGCUAUAGGUUGCAGAUUCAGAAUUUGCCAUUGAAUGGACUAGAACUUGGUUCCAGGGUCUUGUUUUGAACUUAAUUAUUUUGUGCAGUGUCCAUGAUUUUUAAAAAUAAUUACAUGAGUAUUAAUUUGUAGGUUUUGGAAACUCAGAUAGAGUGAAAGAUAUUUUUUCAUCCAUAUCAGCACUUGAAUAUUGUACUUUACACACUAAAAGAUAAAUUAUAAGAAAUCAAAAUGUUUAAGUAUUUGUCCGCUAAGUGAUAAAAGAUAUCAUACAAGCUGGGUGAUUAAAUGAAGGGAUAUUAUCGAAUUAUAAAUCUAAAAACAUGUAAAUAUGCUUACAUAGGUUAGACAGACAUUAUUACACUUGGCAACAUUAAUUCUCAUGUAUUUGGAAUGCUGAAUAUUUGAAUUUGCCACACUAAUGUUUUUUUAAAGUAAAAUCAGCAUCAGAGCCUGGUUCCAAGUCAAAGAGAAUUCAAGAGGCACCCAACUUAAAAGUAAAAUUGGAUUCACCUCUUUUAUAUGGAUAUUUUUCAGAAGGAACACCUGUGAAGGGGUUCCUUGCUCAGUGUGCUGCAUUUUCUGACUUAAUCAGAUCAGACUAAGGUUUGGCAAGUAGUUUCUCUAGCAGGGAAGUCACAAGGUAUCAAGAAGACUCAGGAUAAUUAAGGGCCAUAGCACAGCACUGACCUAAGGACACAAGAACUUUUCAGCAGAAUGGAUGUAGAACUUAGACAGAUGAUCAUGCACUCUCUCUCCAUGCACAUUCUUUCAUAUAUUUAUUUGUUAAUAUCUUCCAUUGAAAUAUAGAUAUAAUUUUCAUUUACACGUUUCAAGAUAAUUUGGCCUCAAGCAUAAACCCAGCAAGACAAAUUUCAAUCCAAACAGAAGAAGCUGAGCAAAGCUCUAGGAAACUCAAAACCAUGUCCAAUAAUGGGAAAUUUUGUGGUAGGUGGAAGAAUGAUAGACAACUGUAAUGGCACCCUGACAAUCAAUGAAGCUACAACAACUGAGGUUUUAUAAUGACAUCAGCUUGCUGAAACUGGUGAGUGUGCAGAGGAUUUUUUGCUCAUAGACAUUAAAUGAAAUUGAAAAUAAUGAAUUCUAAUGAAGAAAAUUUAAUCUUGAGGUAAAAAUAAUACUGCCUUGCUGCGUUCCGUGGGUUUCUGGGCUUGUAUGAAUCCAAUCCGGCCAGCACGAAUCCAAGCCCAGCACGGAACCAGCAUAGACGAAGGACAAAAGACAAGGAGCGCUCUUCCUCCACGUGGGUGUAGGUAUCCGUUUAUUAGCUUGAGACAGGACGUGAGAUGGUGCAGCCACCCAGGUGAAGAAAAAGAGACCCCAGACCGCCUGCUAUGGGGUUUUGUCCAGGGGAGAGGGGGCGGGGAAAGAGGACCGUGGCCAAUGGGAUGCCAAUGGGGAGGGACCACCCAUGGGACAGCCACCAAACCGGGUGUAGGAGGGAACACCCAGAUGCAAUGCAACACUGCCUUGCCUAUGCUUUUCAGAAUUAUAUAUUAGCCCUUCAAGGAUAAACAUCAUCAAUAUCAUGCAAAAAUUCAAAAUAAUUUUUUAAAGCUGGGAAAUAAUCUUGUUAUUUUUUCAUGAAUAUUUUUUCAAAAUUUUAGUCAGAGCCUUAUAAGGAAUGGACUUGAAUUUGUCAUAUAUUGCUGUCUUCAACACAAUGUACAACAGCCAGCACUUUCUUCUAGAACCAAGAAGAUGAUUGAAAGAGUGCCAUAGUUCUGUUUGAUUUUACCUUUGAUUUUAAGUUAAUUGAUUUACAUUAAUUUGGAAUUCCCUUUCAGAUGGAUAUUUCAGUUGUCAGAAUUCAUAAAGGCAAUAUACAUUCUCUUUUUAAGUCUGGUAACCCUUAAGAUUACAUGAGAGCCCUUUUUGAGGCUAAAGGAACUUUUGGCCUGCAAAAAACCACUUGAAUGCUUUGAAGUAGAAACUUUUAUCAUAGGACAUGACAAUACUGAGUCCAUCCUUUUUGUUAUAGAUUUUUCACCAGAUUCGAGUGUUUUCUUGUGGAUUGUAGUGUUGACAACUGUUAGCCCACUCAAUUCCUAUCAAAAAUGAAUGGAAUUUGUCUGAGUGGCUUGGUGAUUUUGUUUUGGUUUCAUGGGGAGUUUGUUUGUUUGUUUGUUUGUUUUUUGUCUGCAGCUGUUGUGGCCCAGUUCUCUUGGUGCUUUAAGGGGAAGGUUGCUUGAUUUGCUCUGAGUGGUGCAAAGGACAAACAACAAAAUUCUUGGGUGAUUCAGUAUCAAACUUUUACUUCCAAACUUUAGAACAUUUAAGGUAAAACAAAGUACUUGGCAAAUUUAAAAUGUAGCCAUUUUAGUUAGACAAUCAAUAAUAAAGAGCAAAAAAUUAACUUGAGAAAAUGCAUAAGAGAAAAGGAAAAAAGUGAAAGAAAGUAUAAAAGUAGCAAGGUAUAGAAUCAGCACCUGUGGAUCCAGAAAUGAGACCUGAUUGUUGAAAUUUUGAGGCCUCUUGGUCAAAGAGAUGUUGCAGUCCUGAUCCACCAGGGGUGGAGGAAGCCUUCAGUUUGGAGUGAGAAAAAUAGUUGCAAUAUUUCAUACCUAAUGAUAUUUCUGUAUGAAAAAAAAUUACAAAUUUUAAAGAAUGCAUGAACAAUAGCUGUGGUGAUAACUUCUAACUGUUAUCUAGCAAUUUACAUUCAAAGAUGUUAUAUUUUGCUAAGGGUGUGUAAUUUAAGUCAAUUUUUUUAAAGAAUACUAGAAUUUUGUAUAGAUGCGUGUGUAUUUAUGUAUUUAUUGGGGAAUAAAACUGAUUUUUAUAGAUUGGGACUUUGGAGCACAAGACAGUGAAGUGUCUUGUCUUAGGUAUCACCAAAGAUAAAAAGAACAAUACCAUUUGAAUAAAGGAACAUGAAAAAGACCAAUUUAUAACAGCAAAUGAGUAUGGGAAUCCACAGGAGCCACCUAGUCUACAGAAACUCUCUGUAGGAACUGAGAGUUCAUAGGAAAAAAGGCAGUGCCUUUUUAAAAUUUUUCUUUCUAUAAGAAAGGGAACAGGCUACUUGGUGUUUAUUAAAGGGGGAAAAUGCACACAGUCUGACAAUAUUUGCAUUCUGUUUUACUCUUGUCCGCUCUGGAGGUUUGGAUUAAAUUCAUAUUCUAUUGAUAAAGCCAUGUAAACUCAAGAAAACUAGUUUUCUCUGCCUCCCCUUCUCUGCAUAUGUAUUUAUAUAGAGAUGUGUCUUUUUUGUUUAUUUAUUUAUUUUUACUUCUGACUCAACACAGCUGUGUAAAAAUAGUGUAGUUUGAGUGCUUAUCCUUUUCAUCUGUGUAAUUAAUACACAGGAAAGAAAGCAUUGAGAUAAGUGGAACAACACAAUAAAAUGUUGGUUGAAAUGAGAUACUUUUAGAAAAAGAAAUAUUUUGCAGGAAUGAAAGCUUUUCCAUCUAAAUUAUACCAUGUAAUCUAAACUGGUUUUAAGCUUAAAAAGCAUGCAAAUCACAAUAAAACUGGAAGAAGGGAUUGGCUGGACACAAGGGAAACAUUGCCAUUUGCAGGAGGAGCUUUUAGAAGAGCAGUCUCAGGUGAGAAUUCUCCAGCUGGACUAGGGCUCAGAGAAAAAAAUGAUAAAAAACUAUAGUACUCAGGUAAUAGCCUCAGUACAGUAUAUGAAAUUGAAGCUUAAUAUUUGAAGUAGCGUAAAUGAAUGCUCCUAACUUAAUAUUCCACUAAAAAAGGAAAUAUUAUUUAAAUAACAUUACCUGCAAAAUUCACUUUCAGCACACGAGAGUUAUUACUGAAAAUAUUUAGUCAACAUGAAAGAACGUUACUUCUUUUUAAAUUAUUGUGGGUGGGAUUCAUCUUGUCUAACUUUAGAUUUCCACUUUAGGUGGAAAUACAGGAGCGAGGUCCCUAAGUUCUCGUUAUGGUUGUUGGAGAACUUUAUCAAUUCAGGGAGUGGAAUCAAGAGCUGAGCAAACAUCAAACCAAUCAAGUAUUUGUUGCUAGUCUAAAAAAGUCUCCAGAGAAACAUUCAACCAGGCCUCCACUCAAUGCAAUGGAAGAAUAUGUAUGCCAUCACACAUAAUCAACUAAAUGCAGAUGCACAAAUUGAUGAUCUAAAGGUGAGUUACCUUUUCCCAGAAAUUCAUUAAAUGCUACAAAUUAUUUUAUUUAUUUAUUUGUUUAUUAUUAUUAAAUGUUUCACAGGCAUUAAUACAGAUCAUUGCUCUAAAAAUAUAUAUAAAUACAAGGAUUUAAAAGGGAGUGAUUUAUGACAUAGAGGAAAAAAAUUAAAAUAGUAGAUGAUCUUUCCUGUGUCUGUGUCUUUUAUUGUUUAUAUUUAGGGUCAUUUUUUCUCUUGUAUUUGGGUUUGUUUGUUUGGUUUUUGACAGUGUAUUUUUUAAUAGAAAAAAGGGGUUGACAGAAUCUAAGACAUGAGAAAAUGGACAAAUAGAAAAAAUAGUAGAAUGACUAAUAUUCUUUUCCACCCUACUGUUACCAUACCAAAUCAAAGUAGAUUGAUUAUUUGCUGUAUUAUUUCACUAAAGAAGUGUAUUAAUUCUGAAGCUUGACUGAACUUUGAACAGAAAGAAUAUAAUAAUGUUUAUUUAACUGAAAUUUGUUGCCACCUGUGAACUAGAUGGGUGCAAAAUGUUUCCAUUGAAAACCUUUAAACAUCAGAGGAAAAAUAAAAAAGAUAGCAGGUUGGAUAAAAGAAAUAUAUUUUAGUUUUUGAAGGUUUCACUACAUGCAAUUUCAAUGGAAAGAGUAGUUGAAGAAUUUCUACACAACAUUUAGAUUAAAUUUUUCACUUAGCUUUAUAAUGUUUUCUAUUUCCAGUGUUUCUGACAUAUAACCCAUCAGGGUACUAAAAAAAAAUUUAAAUACAGUAAAUUUGUAGUCAUUUCCUUGAAUAAGUAUUUCAUAAUAAGGUGAUUUGAGAGAAAAGAAAGAUUUAAUGAAGAGGUAAAUAUGCAAUGAAAAUCAAAUCAAGCAAGUGAAAUAGUUAAUCAUGCUAACACUUGGAUUAUCAAUGUAUCAUCAUGCUAAUUUUUUUAUGCAUGUGGAUUCUUCCCGAAUAGAGGCAGAUUGCCACUGGGAGCAACUGGUGCCACUAAGCUUCCAAAUUAGUCAGUUCUCCAGCUAAGUAGCUUGGGAAGGUGUGUUGAAGGUUUCAUCUUUCUAAAGGCUCUAUUUAUUAUCUUUACUUAUGUAAAGAGUUCAUUAGAAAGAAUUUUACAUUGAAAUAUGGUAACUUUUUAGCCUCCUUUAAUGCAGUCACGCGUCUUUAACUAGCAGACAUAAAACUGCUUAAUUCUGCGGAUAUUAAUGGAUUCAUAUGUCAUAAAGCCAGAAGAAACAGUGUAAUCGAGUCUCAUAUGUGACACAAUACAGGCCACAGGACUUCAGUGAAUUAAGUGGCACAUCAUGUCGAAGUAAAUGUGACUGAAAUGGAGCAUAUUAAAAUACAGCAUACAUUUUUAAAAUACAUUCUUGACUUAAAAAAGCCACUGAAACAGAAUUUGUGACAAUCCUUCAUAGGUUCUCUCAAUAAAUCCAGCUUCUGAAUACAUGCAAUAUGUUGAUUCUGUAUCAUUUUAGCCUCUUACUCAAAAUGUCAUAUGAAACUUAAUAUAGAAUUAAAGACUAUUGUCUUUUCAUCUUAAUGAACAGUACCUGAAAUCUCUUAAAACCAAUACAGCUCAUAGUAGGACAAGAUGUGUUUACAGUACAGAAACAGUAAUUUUUAUAUUUAUAUUAAUCUAAUUAUAUUAAUCUACAUGUGUUCUUUAUAUCUACAGUCAAUGCAAAUUAGUAUGGAUUUAUGAUAUCAGUCCUUCAAUAGUUUGAGUGGGAUAGAUUAGUAAACGCCAGGGUGGAUUUAUUUGAAUCUCACAGUUAGUCUCAAAAAAGUAUUAUCAGAGAAUUAGUAGAUCAUUAUAGUAUUAAUUUCUACUUUUUAAAAAAAACCUCUCACAGUUUCUAAGACCAUACAACUUAAAAUGGUCUAGAAUUUUUAUUUUUAAGAGCUCUCCAAAAACUCUUAGGAACUCUACAUAGGGAAGAAAAAAUCUAUAUGUACUUCUGUGACUGGAAGGGUUUUUAUACUAAACCAAGUACAGUGAAUUCCAUUGUUACUUUUGAUUUCUUAAGUGUCUUCUUUUUUGAUGGGGGAGAGAUGCAGCUGUAUGUAAUGCCAUUGAACAAAUUACAGAAAGGAUCUUAUUUUUAUACUGAAAUUAUUUUGAUUAAUUACAUCCCACUUACUUUUUUUUUUUUUCUCUUAAGAUACGUUUUGUGCACAUGUGCAGUGUCAUAUGAGUGUAUCUAUGCAAAUCAAUGUCUAUGGUCAUGACUAUAUACAAAUGGUCACAUGCAAUUUAUAACAACUUUAGGACAUGUUUGCACCUCAAAAUAUGACUUGUUCAAGAUUCCUCUUGCCAGAGGAAUUACUAACUUCUAGUUUUGUAAUUAAUUCUUAUUCAUGUGUUUUAAAUUGAUUGAACCAAUCAAAAAUAGAAUCAUUCAUAAUUUUAAAAAUAGUUUUAUAAUUGGUUUAGUUUAUCUGUGGGGGGUGUUUUUUAAAAUGUUUUAAGGAAUACUUUGGCAAGCAUAGUUUAGCAUCUCCAAUACACUAAUUUUCUCUGAAGUUUCUGAGAAGAGCUCAACUUCUUUCUUCCAUGUCUAGUACUAAACCCCAUGUUUUUAAAAUCUUCACAAAGUUAAUUUUAAAUGUUCAGAAGUCUGGUAACUUAAAAUAGCUUAACUUACCUUGCACUUGAUUUUGCUUAUCAUGUUUUUAAGAACAUUGCUCCAUUACAUAUUUCUAAGUCAGUAGCACUAAGAUAUCAAAUCUUUCUAAGCAGAUCAAAUUACUUGAAUGGCUCAUUUGUUUAUUUGUUUGUUUGUUGCUGGCAACGAUGAUUAACUGGUAUAGUGAUUAUGAGAACAGCAUUUCACAGUGUUAGUAUUCCAUUUGAACUUGUAAGUAAUUUUCUGUAAACAGCAUUAUUAGUAAACUUCUGUGUAUUAUGUUACUCAACACAAUCUUAUAAGUAACUUCAGAUUUUAAACUGUAUGGACUAUAUCUAUCUAAAAUAAGCAAUAUGUAUCAAAUUAUUCCUUUUGAUUUUGUUUCCCUUGAACAAAAAGUUUCUGUCAAAAGUGAAAAGAUCUUUACUUUUCUAGUGGAAUUCCUUUUCAUUUCUCUCAUUGUUAUGGAUCCAUAAGUAAGCAAUUUCACAUUUUAUUACAAAAUAAGUAGAGGCAGGUGUCUAGAAGAUGGGGAGAAUGGCAUACUCAAUUUUCUUGUGGCAUAUAUUAAAGCUUUAGGAACAUAUUUGCCUGGCCUUCUGCUGGAUUUAGUCAAACUUCAGCUGAUGGGUAAGUAAGCAUUGUAUAAACAUUUUCUUUGUUGUACCAAAGUUUAACUUGUCUUCAUUCCGACUUCAUGAUUUCUUCAUUUUUGCAUAUAGUUGAGUGUUGUUAGCAACCAAUACAGGAAAAACCAAACUGUCAAUAAGAAAAGGCAAAUAAAGCAUGAAAAAGCCAGACAUUGACUUACAUAUUGUUUUAAUACAGAAUAAGCAAUAUCUAAUAAAAAAGUUCCAUUGGCUUCCUUGUUGGUAUUUAGUGUUACUGUUACUCUAACAAUAGCUGUUAUAUUGCAGUCUUUUUUUUAUGGUUGCUGUAAGACCAUAAGUUUUACACAUCUUCUAACUGCUCUAUUUCUUUGAAACAGCUUUAUCUUUUGAAAGGAUAAUAUACUCAAGUUACACCAGUAAGCUGGCUGCAGCUUAAAAUGAAUUCUAUUCAAGGUGAUGUAACUACCUGUACAAAGUGGAAUUAAGGGUAUAUGAUCCACUUUUGCUUCAUUGCAUGCUUAGUGUUGUUGGGCAAUUUAGGUUUAUAAAAACGCUUCUGAGUGAGCACCAAAAAAAGAGCCUGAGAGUCAUGGCUAUGAAGACUCUUCCUUUCAUUUCUCCUUAUUAUUCUUUAAUCAGAACUAUUGCUUGUAAGUCACGUGAGACCAAUCUCCAAAAUGCAUGCCAAUGAAUAAUUUACUCCUGAUUUGGUACAAUCUCAGGAGUCAUUCAGGAAACCCACAUGAUGUAUGCUGCUAAGUAGCAACCUGAAUGAGGGGAGCAUGCUGCUGCUUUGCCAUUUCUGCUUACAUAAAUUUUAACUUCUAUAUCUAAAAUACUUUAUAGAUUAUGUUUUCAUUGAAUUUAUACUUCCCUUAAUUCCUCAAUAAUUGUUUUCUUUUCCAGAUUAAUUUUAGGAAAUCUGUAGACAGCUCCAUGCAAAUGCCUUGUUUCAAAAUGGAAAUUUCUGUAAUUAUAGCCUCUAUACACUGAGACACCUGACAUUCUAUGUAUUGUAUCUACUCUACAACAAUUUAUGUUUAGGUCCCCAUUAGGUACUGGAAGGCCACAAUUAGGUCACCCUGAAGUCUUUUCUUUUCCUGGCUGAACAAGCCCAAGACUCUCAGGCUUUCCUCACAGAAGAGAUGUUUCCAUUCCUUUCAUCAUCCUGGAGGCCCUCCUCUGGACUGGCUUCAACAGGUCAUUCUUCCUGUGCUAUAUGUGCUAUAAGUUGACAAGGAAGUCAUUAAAGAAGAUGGCGAGAGACAUAAUUAUGAAAAUCAUAGAAUCAUAGAAUCAUGGAACAGUUUGAAUUUGAAGACAUCUUUACUGGUCAUCUAGUUCAAACUUCCGUUACAAUAAGCAGGGACAUCUUGAACUACAAGAGGUUGCUAAGACUCCCAUCCAAUCUGACCAGUAAUGUUUCCAGUGAUGGGAUAUACACCACCUCUCUGGGCAACCUGCUCCUGGGUCACACCACCCUCAGUCUAAAAUACUCCUUCCUUAUAUCAAAUAUAAGUUGACCUUCUAUGUGCUUAAAACCUCUUGUCCUAUUGCAACAGACCCUGAGAAAAUGUUUGUCCACAUCUGUCUCACAAAGUUCUUUUAAGUACUCAAAGGCUGCAAUGCGGUUUCCCCAGAGCCUUCUCUUCUGCAGGCUGAACAACUCCAACUCUCUCAGACUUUUCUCAUAGAAGAGAUCUUUCAUCCUCCCUCCAAUCAUCUUCAUGGCGCUCUUCCAGAUUCACUCCAACAGGUACAUAUCAUUCCCGUGCUGAGGACAUCAGGGUUGGAUUCAGUAUUCCAGGUGAGGUCUCCCAGGAAUGAAGGGGAAGAAUCACCUCCACAGACUUGUUGGCCACCUCUUCUCCUGAUGCAGCCCGGGAUAUGGUUGACUUUCUGGACUGCAAAUGCCCAUUGCUGACUCAGGUCCGCCGUUUUGUGCCCCGGGACCCACCAGUCCUUCUCAGCAGAACUGUUCUCAAUUCUCCAGCCUGUAAAAUUAUUAAAUUUGAUCUUCAUAAGAUCCAUUAGACAUCCUCUAUGUAUGAGUUAUUGCCUAGCUGAAAAGCUAGCAUAGAAAAUUGUUAUGAUAUUUUCUCAGUGUUUUAUUUUGGGACAUUAUACCUUAAAGUUGUACCAUCCUGAAAAGUAAAAAUUGAAUCAGGGUUAGAAACUGGAAAUGGACACAUCCAAUAUUGUGUGUUAAAAAGUAAAUGCAGGGAAACAUUUUUUGAGCUCAGGGAAAUAUGUUUUUGAGCUUUAUUUGCUCAGUGUAGCUUAAAAGAGUAUGAGACGAGUUCUGAAAUGGCACCUGUCUGCUUAUCCAUUUGUAAUAUUGACAGAGCAUAGAUUUGUAGUAUGCAGAGUUGACAAUUUCCAACCGGAUGUUGAAGCACUGAUCUACAUGACAGGAAUUGUGAUCAUUAGUUGCCAUGCUUGAAAAGGAUGUGGACAGAUUCAAUGUGGUUAGGUGCAAUCAGUCCUGAAAUUAAUGCAUAAAUGGAAGAGACACUUUUUCAUUAUUGCCUACUUUGGGGGAAACAGUGGGUGCACUACUGUCAGAGUUCAGACUGAUAGAUAUUGAUACAAAUCAUUUUUAUAUGAUCUGCCUAUUUAUUAGAAUUGCUUUUCUGCUCUCUAUAUGGAAGUCCAUGAUGCAUUGCAUUCUGAACUUCCUAAUGUUCAGAUUGCUGUUCUCACUGCAAGAAAUAAUGAAAUGGAUUCAUUACUUUAUUCUUAAAAUAUUCUGAUUUAUUUUAGGCUAUACCUUCUUCAGGGAUUUCAUAUACCCUUUUGUUGUCUAGUUCAUUUAUUUUAUUGUAGAUUCAAACAUAUUAUACAUAUUUUGAGGACAAAAAAUUUCAACAAAUAUUUUUAGAUUAUUCAUGCACAUAAACGAAACAAGGACAAGGACAUGAGAAGAUACAAAUUCCUAGUAAUAUUUUCAGUAUUGAUAAACUCAAUAUUAUUAAUGUAAUGAUGAACAGAGCGGAAUUAAGAUGACAGGCAACUUCUUUUUUAGUUGCAUCUAUAGAAAAGAAGCAAACUUUUUGGUAUAGUUUUAAAUUUUCCUUUGAAAUUAUGUUUUGCAUAACAUGGUUCUCUCACUUUGAAUUUAGAAAUGAAAGUUUAAUUCAAUAAUAAUCUAUUAGUACCUCAAAUUUUGCAUAUGCGGAGGAUUCUACUUUAUUAUUUAUCUUUUGAAUUCAGAAGAUGAAACUGUGAAAGCUGAAAGAAACCACUGUAAGUUCUCUGGACACAAAGAUAUUAAAAGGAAAUUAACACUACUACAGUGAUACAAACUAUCUGAUUAAAAAUGAUUUAUUAGUCCAAGCCUGCAGCACUACUCCUGGGCUUCAGGCCAGUAUCCCUUUGGAGAGUUAUACUUGUGGAGGAAAAGAAGAAAACAUAUCCUUCACUGCUAAUUUUAAAAAUAUAUCAAACUAUUUUGAAGUUGAAUAUAUGAUUAGAACACUAAAAGUAAGAGCAGGAGGACAAAAUGCUGGUAAGAUAUACAAACACAAAUGUGCCAUUAAUGUAAGCCUGAGAACAACUGACCUCUUUGGUAUUUUCAAAUGGGUUUAGGUGCUUGAACUUUACCUUCAUCUCUACAUUAUUUUUAGAGAGAGAAUUGUACAUGCAUUUCUUUCAAAUUCCUCCUAUGCCUUAUUUCAAAUGUUGAAUAUUUGUGUUAUUACCCUUUAUCUCUCUUGCUACUUUAAUAACGCUUCUUUUGUCAUGUCAUCUAAGAUCUGUAGAGACUUCACUUUUUAGCUUUUUUAUUUGAUUAGAGUCUGUUCUGUGACAGGUAAGGUGUUUUUCUUUGUAUAACUUCAUGAAGUAAAUACCUGCUUAGAAGUACUUCCUGAAAAUAAUAAUUGCAAAUGAAGCCAGGAAGUCAGCUCCGUCCUGGGCCCAACUUAAAUGCCUCUAACACAUACGUUGGGAAUAAACAAGAGGAGUCAUCAAAAACACGUCUACCUGCAGGGCUAUGAUCUUAUUGUCAUGGAGAUGUGGUGGAAUGGCUGCUGUGGAAUGCAAGGAUAUAGGCUCUUUUCAUUAUAGUGUGGGCCUGGGGCAGCCCACCCAACAGAAGACUGAGCUUAUGAGGCCCCUUACAGACAAAUAGGAGCAGCCUCAUGUUCACAAGCCCCUGUGGGGGACUUCAAUUGCCCCAAUAUCACACCAAUUAUUCUGUGUUGGAGGGAAAACAAAGACAGGCAUAAGCAAGUUCUUGGAAUGCGUUGGUGGCCCUCUCCAAGUACAGCAAGGAGAUGUUGCACUGAACCUUUUUCUUACCAGAAAGAAGGAGCUGUUGAGAUGGAGAACAUAAUGCUGAAGGGCAGCCUUGGCUGUUGUGACAACGAAAUGGUGGACUUUGAGAUCCUUAGUGAAGUGGGAAGAGCACACAGCAAGCUCACUACCCUAGACUUCAGGAAAACAAACUUUGGCUUCUUCAGGGUUCUGCUUGGUAGAGUGCUGUGUGAUAAAGCCUUGGAGAGAAGAGGGGCUCAAGAAGGCUUGUUAAUAUUGAAGGAUCACCUUAGGCAAAAAUAACAGGAGGCCUGUGUGGAUUACCAAGGAACUCCUGAGCAACCUCACACACAAAAAAGAAGCCCACAGAGAGUGGAAAGAGGGCCAAGUAACCUGGGAUAAACACAGAGAGAUUAUCCAAGCAGCCAGAGAUCAGGUUAAGAAAGCUGAAGCCCUGAUAAAACUAAACCUGGCCAAGGACACUAAUGGCAAGAGAAGGUUAGGGAAAACAUGAACCCUCUCCAGAGGGAAACAGGAGACCUGGUUAGCCAGGAUAUGGAGAAGGUUGAGGUAUUUAAUGACUUUCUUGUCUUGGUCUUCACCAGUAAGUGUUCCAGCAACAUCGCUUGACCCGUAAAAGACAAAAGCAGGGACUGGUAGAAUUAAAAACUGCCAGCAAUAGGAGAUCAUGUUUGAUACCAUUUAAGGAAUUUGUAUGCGCACAAGUCCAUGAGAUCCAGUCAGAUGCAUCUGCAGGUCCAGAGGGAUCUGUCAGAGGAACAGUUAAGGCUUAUUUUUGCAGCAUUCUUUGAACUAAUGUUUUCCUUUUAUGAUCUGUUGAUUUACUAACGCAUGAUGACUCAGUAAUCCAUGAGGUCUGUAUUUUCAGUACAGAUUAAAGCAAGCAACCAGAACUCAUAUGUUGAUGUACUGUGGCAAAACAGUGAAUAGCAAUGCCAACUCAGAUUCCCACAAACAAUGCAGAUUUGUUGAUGCAGUGUUAAUGACUGCCUGGGCUAAUGAAAUUUCUUUCUCAGCCACUUCAGUUGGAUGAGGCAUUGUACAAAUAUAGUUGUACAGCUUCUAAAUCCAAGAUUGACGCACUUAGCACUUGUUUGAUUAUAUCUGAUAAUGUUUUACAUUGUUUAUGGACUUAUAUUAAAGUUUAUGCUAGAGAUUAUGGACAAUAAAUGCUGGACUGUGUUGCACCAGCCAGCCUUUGUUGUAUGGGUAGCAGUCAUGAGACACAUACUGCUCAUUAUCUACUUCACAUCUGAUAGGCUCCUAUUUCAUAUAUACACAGAAAAUCUCAACAGCUGCUGUUAACGUUGAGCUGUUGUUUUCUAUCAUGCAAUAGACUGGUCAGCCUCAGAAGUAAAGAAAAAGCAAUAUGAUGUCAGAAGGAUGACUAGACCAAAAAAUGUAGAACCUCUACUUCAGUCAUGUAUACUCACCCUUGUAUUACUGGACUGGGAAUAAAUGUUGCUUAAGUGGGUGACUGAGAACACCAGUCAAAUUUUAGGGCAUAAUAUAUUACACUGACAAGGGCAAUUUAGGAAUAUUUUCUUUAUAUAGAAUAUUUAUUUAUCUCAUGAUUUGUGCCAGGAAAGCUUUCAUUUGCAUGAUACAGUGUUAACAUACAAAGAAAAACCAAACAGCUGUAUUCUAAGCUGAGAAUGAGUUAAAACAAUAUAUAAAAAAAGGCAAAAAGAAAGAAAAUCAUGACACUGAUACAGGGAACAAGAUUGCUGGUACUCCCUUUGAAAGAAAUGUUGGCUCUGCCUUUGAAUGUUUUCCAAGGCUGCAGUAGCAAUAAAAUAAUGACAUACAGAACAAGGCUAAUGUUCCUUUCUAGCCUAAGUGACAAUGAGAUCUACUCCAAAUGACAUUAUUUUUAUCAUCAAGAUCAGGACUGAGCAAUUUCUUGAAAAUGUUUUUGGCAUGAUUUAAAACAAAUUAUUCAUUAACAGCUUUCUUUAGAGGGAGAACAUGGAUGACAACAUUGAACUUGUUUAUAGUUUCUAACAGCACAAACAUCCAGAUUUCAAGAUCUUGUGGACCUGUUUAGGUGUAUAUCAUUUCUCUCAGCUGAGGUCUUUCCCUCUGUGCAAGGUUCAUCUAGGUUUGAAGAAGGAAGCAUUCAUCUGAACGAGCAAAGCAUAGAAUUAAAUAAAAAACGAUUAAUACAUCUAGGAAGUUCCAAAAAUCAUGGGGUUGCAUGGAGAAAUUAUGUCUGCAAUUCAUCUGAAAGAAUAGCUUUUAAUGUCCUUUUUUCUCCUCCAAAUCUCUCACAGUUUUAUCUUUAGGACUACUUCCUGUAGAAGCUGGAAAGAGGCUUUCUAUAAGGGCAUGUGCUGAUAGGACAAGGAGUAAAGGCUUUAAACUUAAAGAGGUUAGGCUUAGAUUAGACAUCAGGAAGAAAUUGUUUUCUGUGAGGGUGGGGAGAUCCUGAAACAAGUUGCUCUGAGAAGUUUUGGAUGCCCUGUCCCUGGAAGUGUUCAAGGUCAGGUUGGAUGGGGCUUUUAGAAACCUGGGGUAGUAAAAGGUGACUGAGACCAUGGUGGGAGUAUAGGAGCUAGAUAGUCUCUAAGGUCUUUUCCAACCCAAACCUUUCUAUGUUUCUGUGAGUUUCCUUUGCAAAUUCCUUUCUCUCUCUGUAAAAUUUUAUAGGACUCCUCUCAUUGUCCUUCCAUAUACCUGUGCACUUUAUUUUGUCUCCUUCAACAGAAAUUUAUUCCAGGGCAUUCCUUUCUGGAAAAUGUCAUAGAAACAUAAAUCAAUUUAAGUUUAACGAGACCUCUGGAAGUCAUAUAGUCCAAAUUACUGCUCAAAGAGUUUCAAUGAGAGUAGAUAUGUAAAGACUGUAUCCACAGAAAUUUUAAGUAAACCUCUCCAAGGGUAUCUCCAAGGAAUAGGGCUGUAACUGAACAAAUGUCAUGAUAUAGGAAAAAAUUCCUUAAAUGUAUUCCAACCUUCCCAUGAUGCAAGUUCAUAUAUCACUAGGCAUCUCCAUACUCUCCAACCAGGAAAGAAAUAUACUGAGAAAGGUAAAAGAAGACAAUAUUGUUGAGACAGAAGUCAUUAAUUGUUCAGGGAUUAAAUAAGACAAAUACUUGUGGGUCCCUUCCAACUCAUGAUCUUCUAUGGUUUUAUGACUUAUCUGAAAAAAUAUAAAGGAUUAAAAAGAUCCUCAAUAAACAUGAUGAUGAUGAUGAUUAAUGUCUUAUUGGCAGCAGUGAAUAUUGACCUUUACCCACCUGGCAGAUGACUGCCUGGUCACAAAGAUUUCUUGGUUGUCUCUUUGGGCUUUUUGAGCCAAUAAAUGUGUGGUCUAGAAGGUAUUUGUUCCAGUCACUCGUUCUUUGAGCAUCGGCCAAUAAACUAUUGCACUGUUUUUUAAGUUUUGCUUAUCUUACUUUAUCUCACUGCCUGAUGAAGGAUAUCCAAGGAAAAGAGAUGCUGAGAGAGACAAUUACAGAUCCAACAUUACAAGAAGAUUGUUGUAGGCAGCAUGAAUGUUCAGUCUGAAUAUUCUGAUGUGCUUUAACAAAUAUAGCAAAUGGGAAUUUAUGCUGCAUGACUGCCCAUUCCUAUACUGAGUUUCCCUAAGCAAGAAGUUUUCAUAUGCUUCUCAGUUUUGCCUUUCUUUUCACUAACAAGAUAGUAUGAGACUUGGGAAUACCAGGUGGUGCCUUGUCUGCUGUAUUGCGAGGACAGACUGCAGCUCUUACCUUUGUGGCAACUGAGAAGGAAGAUAAAAGUUAUUAGUACACAUCUUGUAGCACUAAUUGUUUUCAUUUUAACUGAAAAAAAAAAAAAACAAAUGAACAAACAAUGGAAAAAGAUGCCUUUCACUCUCUUUGAUCUUUAAGAUGUUGAUCCAUUCUUAACCAUCCUUGGUUUUCUGUAGCAAAUAGAAGCAAUUUUGUGAUCUUCCUUAUUCUUCUUCUAUUUGGACACAAGAGCAAGGAGAGAUUAGUCUUUUCAUCUCUAACAAACUGUUUUCCUGACAAGCCAACUGAUUACCUUUAACCGUUCUUCUUCUGGUCCACUUCCAUUUGCACUUAGCAUCUGGAAGAUCACAGAACUGGUUUUAAGCACUGUAAGGGUUUCCUUAGCAUGCUCAAAAUAUUUUUUGAGCUACAUCAUUCAUAUAAAUUAUUGUACCUUUGAUUUAUGUAAUUUGUGUGCCUGAAAUGGAUGAUUUGUUUCAUUGACAUCACUAUAAGAAAAAACCCCAAACAAUGUUACAAUUAAGCAUUAAUAAUUCAUACAUUUUUAGACAUUUGUUUCAGUUAAAUAAAAUAGAAAUGUAGCCACAUAAAAAUCCAUACAUUUUUAAGCUGAUUAGAUCAAUAAAGUAUGAUCUCAUGAAGGAUUUUAUUAUUAUACUUCCUUUCUAUGGUAACUGACUUUAGAAAAGCAGUUUCUGUACCUAUUUUUGUUUUGAAACACUGCAAAACUGUAAGUGGAUUUAUUCAAGAUCAUUCAAAACAUUCUGUUACCUCAAAAGAACUGUUUUUUUGUAAUGAUUUAUUAUUGAAGAUAUUAUAAAAAUAAUAAUAAAAAUAAGCCUAAACAUUCUGUCCAGAUGGUUUAACAUGGAUAAGUUAACAGCAUGAGCCUUCACAGUGGAAUAAAAUGUUUCAAUUUCUUUUACAAAAUGUGAUUAUUUAAUUGAAAAUACUUCUAGAAUUUACAGCUUCAGAGGUAAAUCUGGAGAAACGUGUGUCAUAAUAUCCAUCUCAGUCUAUAAGGGCCUUCAAGAAGUAUUUGUGAGGAAACCAAUACUUAAAGCAAUAGUUUUUUAUGAUUUAAGGUUUCACUGAUGAUGAAACAACUGCUGUUUAUUGGUGGGCAGCAGAAAAACAAGACAAAGGCAAAUAUGUCUGAAAACAUAUGAAAGUAGGGAAUUUUAAAAAACUAUAUGUAUUUACAGUCUGAACACCACCAUCUAUUGACAGCGGCAUUACACCAGGAAGAAUUUCAUCCUUAGACACAAUUAUGAAAAUCUUCAAAAUAAAGCUAACAAGACACAUAUAUGCUAUUUGAAUAUAACUCUCAUAUAAGUGCCUCUAAAUAACCUACAUGCAACUAGAAUGAAAGACUAUAAUUUUUUCUUAAAUUUAACUUCUUUAUG